GGAGCUGCCAAGGCUCUGGAGGUGGCUGCUGAGGCACUUGUUUUAUAAAUCUUACUUGCUCACUUAUUACAUACUCGUUUGCUUACGUAUCCAUCAUCUAAUAACUGAGAAACACUGUAACAACAGCUACAAUUUGAACAAUGGUGCGAAUACAUUGUUUUUAAGGACGUCUUCACAGUAGAAACUUCCAAGCAACUUUAUAAAUAUCUAUUGAAAGAAUGCAAAAACUUCCCAAAGAAUCUCAGUCUUAUUAUCUCCACACUAUAAGACAGGGCUUUAAUCAACAUUCUGAUGAAACGGAUCCAGAACGAAUAUCUCAGAUCAUACAUCGGGCAGUGGAAGAUUCAAGGUGGAUUGUGAAGAAGUACUCCAAAGCCCAAGAGUAAACCAUUGAGGAAGA